AUACUAAAAUUGGCAGCACAUAUACUAAAACUGGAACAAUACAGAAAUUAGCAUGGCCCCUGUGGAAGGAUGACAUGUAAAUCCGUGAAGCGUUCUAAAUUAAA